rnacentral:rRNA from 1 species
AAAUUGAAGAGUUUGAUCAUGGCUCAGAUUGAACGCUGGCGGCAGGCCUAACACAUGCAAGUCGAACGGUAACAGGAAACAGCUUGCUGUUUCGCUGACGAGUGGCGGACGGGUGAGUAAUGUCUGGGAAACUGCCUGAUGGAGGGGGAUAACUACUGGAAACGGUAGCUAAUACCGCAUAACGUCGCAAGACCAAAGAGGGGGACCUUUGGGCCUCUUGCCAUCGGAUGUGCCCAGAUGGGAUUAGCUAGUAGGUGGGGUAACGGCUCACCUAGGCGA